AGAACGAACGCUGGCGGCAGGCUUAACACAUGCAAGUCGAGCGCUGUAGCAAUACAGAGCGGCGCACGGGUGAGUAACACGUGGGAACAUGCCUUUUGGUUCGGAACAACACAGGGAAACUUGUGCUAAUACCGGAUAAGCCCUUACGGGGAAAGAUUUAUCGCCGAAAGAUUGGCCCGCGUCUGAUUAGCUAGUUGGUGAGGUAAUGGCUCACCAAGGCGACGAUCAGUAGCUGGUCUGAGAGGAUGAUCAGCCACAUUGGGACUGAGACACGGCCCAAACUCCUACGGGAGGCAGCAGUGGGGAAUAUUGGACAAUGGGCGCAAGCCUGAUCCAGCCAUGCCGCGUGAGUGAUGAAGGCCCUAGGGUUGUAAAGCUCUUUUGUGCGGGAAGAUAAUGACGGUACCGCAAGAAUAAGCCCGGCUAACUUCGUGCCAGCAGCCGC
rnacentral:rRNA from 1 species